UACGGAGGAUGCGAGCGUUAUCCGGAUUUAUUGGGUUUAAAGGGUGCGUAGGCGGACAGUCAAGUCAGCGGUAAAAAUGCGGUGCUCAACGCCGUACAGCCGUUGAAACUGGCAGUCUUGAGUGGGCGAGAAGUAUGCGGAAUGCGUGGUGUAGCGGUGAAAUGCAUAGAUAUCACGCAGAACUCCGAUUGCGAAGGCAGCAUACCGGCGCCCUACUGACGCUGAGGCACGAAAGCGUGG
rnacentral:rRNA from 1 species